GACGAACGCUGGCGGCGUGCUUAACACAUGCAAGUCGAACGGAAAGGCCCUGCUUUUGUGGGGUGCUCGAGUGGCGAACGGGUGAGUAACACGUGAGUAACCUGCCCUUGACUUUGGGAUAACUUCAGGAAACUGGGGCUAAUACCGGAUAGGAGCUCCUGCUGCAUGGUGGGGGUUGGAAAGUUUCGGCGGUUGGGGAUGGACUCGCGGCUUAUCAGCUUGUUGGUGGGGUAGUGGCUUACCAAGGCUUUGACGGGUAGCCGGCCUGAGAGGGUGACCGGCCACAUUGGGACUGAGAUACGGCGCAGACUCCUACGGGAGGCAGCAGUGGGGAAUAUUGCACAAUGGGCGGAAGCCUGAUGCAGCAACGCCGCGUGCGGGAUGACGGCCUUCGGGUUGUAAACCGCUUUCGCCUGUGACGAAGCGUGAGUGACGGUAAUGGGUAAAGAAGCACCGGCUAACUACAUG
rnacentral:rRNA from 1 species